ACGGGAGGCAGCAGUGGGGAAUAUUGCACAAUGGGGGAAACCCUGAUGCAGCAACGCCGCGUGGAGGAAGACGGUCUUCGGAUUGUAAACUUUUGUUCUUAGUGAAGAUAAUGACGGUAGCCGAGGAGGAAGCCACGGCUAACUACGUGCCAGCAGCCGCGGUAAUACGUAGGUGGCAAGCGUUGUCCGGAAUUACUGGGUGUAAAGGGAGCGCAGGCGGGAAAGCAAGUCAGUGGUGAAAUGCAGGGGCUUAACCCAUGAACUGCCAUUGAAACUGUUUUUCUUGAGUGGAUCAGAGGCAAGCGGAAUUCCGAGUGUAGCGGUGAAAUGCGUAGAUAUUCGGAGGAACACCAGUGGCGAAGGUGGCUUGCUGGGGUCUAACUGACGCUGAGGCUCGAAAGUGUGGGGAGCAAACAGGAUUAGAUACCCUGGAA
rnacentral:rRNA from 1 species